rnacentral:rRNA from 1 species
UACGUAGGGUGCGAGCGUUGUCCGGAAUUAUUGGGCGUAAAGCGCGUGUAGGCGGCUUUGCAAGUCGGGUGUGAAAGCCCUCAGCUCAACUGAGGAAGUGCGCCCGAAACUGCAGAGCUUGAGUGCCGGAGAGGGUGGCGGAAUUCCCCAAGUAGAGGUGAAAUUUCGUAGAUAUGGGGAGGAACACCGGUGGCGAAGGCGGCCACCUGGACGGUAACUGACGCUGAGACGCGAAAGCGUGGGGAGCAAACAGG